GGGGAGCGGGCGUUGCGGGCCGGCCCCUCCUAACCUGCGCACUGGGUCGCUGCACCACCACCACCACCAUCACCGCCUCUACUGCCGCCGCCAGCACCUCCACCAGGAGAAAGCUGCCAGUCUGUCUGACACGUAAGAAGACGAUGACGAUAAAGAAGGAAGAGGAGGAGAAGAAGGAGCAGGAGGAGGAGGAAGAGGAGGAGAAGGAGGAGGAGGAGGAGACAAGUUACUCGACUCGUUAAAAGAAGAAGAGAAACAAAAGAAAAAGGAAGAAGGAGAAGAGGAAGAAAAAGAAAGAAAAGGUAACGAAACAGAAAAAAAAUAAAAUAAAAGGAAAGAGAAAAGAAAAGAAACAGAAAAGGAGGAAGAAGUAAAAGUAGAAGAAAAAAGCAGAAGAAAAGAAAAAGAAGAAGAAGAAACAGAAGAAGAAGAAG